AGUGGCAGACGGGUGAGUAACAUGUGGGUAUUUACCCUUUGGUCUGGAAUAACACGAGGAGACUUGUGCUAAUACCGGAUAAGUCUUUACGGAGAAAGCUUUAUGCACCAUUGGAUGAGCCCGCACUUGAUUAGUUUGUUGGUAGGGUAAUGGCCUACCAAGACUAUGAUCAAUAGCUGAUUUGAGAGGAUGAUCAGCCACAUUGGGACAGAGACACGGCCCAAACUCCUACGGGAGGCAGCAGUGGGGAAUCUUGCACAAUGGAGGAAACUCUGAUGCAGCGAUGCCGCGUGAGUGAAGAAGGCCUUUGGGUUGUAAAGCUCUUUCGUCGGGGAAGAAAAUGACUGUACCCGAAUAAAAAGGUCCGGCUAACUUCGUGCCAGCAGCCGCGGUAAUACGAAGGGACCUAGCGUAGUUCGGAAUUACUGGGCUUAAAGAGUUCGUAGGUGGUUGAAAAAGUUGGUGGUGAAAUCCCAGAGCUUAACUCUGGAACUGCCAUCAAAACUUUUCAGCUAGAGUAUGAUAGAGGAAAGCAGAAUUUCUAGUGUAGAGGUGAAAUUCGUAGAUAUUAGAAAGAAUACCAAUUGCGAAGGCAGCUUUCUGGAUCAUUACUGACACUGAGGAACGAAAGCAUGGGUAGCGAAGAGGAUUAGAUACCCUCGUANUCCAUGCCGA
rnacentral:rRNA from 1 species